GGAUGCGAGGGCAAUCUGGCUGGGACAUCUGUCAUCCCAUUGGUCACAAGGGUUGAUUCAGCUGAUUUGGCUGGCUGGGCAGGUGUUCCCUUCUUCCCUCACCACUCCAUGUGCAUCCCUCCUGAAGCAGAGGAACUUCCCUGAUAGAGAAGGGUCGUUCUUGGGCCAAGGGUAUACAAGCAGUGGUGCUCCUCCAAACAAGCCCACAAAGUCCAUUUUGUUGAUGGUUUCCUGUGAUGUGCGGAAGCUUUUUAGUUUGAUGUGGUCCCGCUUGUUUAUUUUU
rnacentral:snRNA from 1 species